ensembl:snoRNA SNORD16 Small nucleolar RNA SNORD16
UGCCUUGAUGGUGUAAUUUGCGUCUGACCUAGUGAACAGUGACAGUUGCCUGCUGUCUUUAAGCUGUCACAUGGUAAUGAUGUGUGUUAAAUUCUGAGCA